rnacentral:lncRNA from 1 species
AAUUAUUAUGAGUCCAUUAGCAUUCAAAGCUAGACAUCACCGAAGGCUACUAGCAUUGCCAAGAUGGACUGGGAGUUAAAAGAAAGAAAAAUUCUUGUUAAAUCCAGCAAACUGUCAGCAAAGAUGUCUUUCUAAUGAUAAAGGUCACCAAAUGUAUCAACUCCAAUGAUUCCGACACUCCACAACAUACAAGAAGCAACAGAACAGGAUGGAGGGAAUUAUUAUGAGUCCAUUAGCAUUCAAAGCUAGACAUCGCCAAAGGCUAUUAGCAUUGCCAAGAUGGACUGGGAGUUAAGAAAAGAAAACUUCUUGUUAAAUCCAGAAAACUGUCAACUGUCAGCAAAAAAAUCUUUCUAUUGAUAAAGGUCACCAAAUGUAUCAACUCCAAUGAUUCCGAAACUCCAAAAUAUACAAGAAGCAACAGAACAGGAUGGAGGGAGUUACUAUGAGUCCAUUAGCAUUCAAAGCUAGACAUUGCCAAUUGAAGGCUAUUAGCUUUGCCAAG